GAAUUAGUUCAUUUUAAAUAUUUUUUAUAACAUGAGCUAUUGAACUUACCCAUGAUACCAGCAGAGAUCAUUUUUAAAUAUUUUCCGAAAAACGAAAAUGUUGUGACUUCGGAGUUGACUAAUAAUAAUAAUAAUAAUAAUAUUUAAUCUGGAUAUUUAUUGCUUCUUGGAAUACAAUAAGUCCAUAGCAAGAGGUUUGUUCGACAAUACAAUAUUAAAAUAUUUUGAACAAAUACGUAUAGUGACAUGCAGAGAUAGUUUAACAAAAUAAAUAGGUAUUAAAUGAGUAAUACACACAUGACAAAAUUACAUUACAAAGAGACGAAUAAUAGUGAUACAAAAAUUA
rnacentral:lncRNA from 1 species